GACGUAGGGUGCAAGCGUUGUCCGGAUUUAUUGGGCGUAAAGAGCUCGUAGGCGGUUUGUCGCGUCUGCUGUGAAAACUCGGGGCUUAACUCCGGGCCUGCAGUGGGUACGGGCAGACUAGAGUGUGGUAGGGGAGACUGGAAUUCCUGGUGUAGCGGUGAAAUGCGCAGAUAUCAGGAGGAACACCGAUGGCGAAGGCAGGUCUCUGGGCCACUACUGACGCUGAGAAGCGAAAGCAUGGGGAGCGAACAGG
rnacentral:rRNA from 1 species